rnacentral:rRNA from 2 species
AAGUCUUUGAUUCCCCGCUGCCAAGAAAAGCUUCUAGCGAGAUAAAAGGUGCCUGUACCGCAAACCGACACAGGUAGGCGAGGAGAGAAUCCUAAGGUGUGCGAGAGAACUCUGGUUAAGGAACUCGGCAAAAUGACCCCGUAACUUCGGGAGAAGGGGUGCUUUCUUAACGGAAAGCCGCAGUGAAUAGGCCCAAGCGACUGUUUAGCAAAAACACAGCUCUCUGCGAAGCCGUAAGGCGAAGUAUAGGGGGUGACACCUGCCCGGUGCUGGAAGGUUAAGGAGAGGGGUUAGCGUAAGCGAAGCUCUGAACUGAAGCCCCAGUAAACGGCGGCCGUAACUAUAACGGUCCUAAGGUAGCGAAAUUCCUUGUCGGGUAAGUUCCGACCCGCACGAAAGGUGUAACGAUUUGGGCACUGUCUCAACCAGAGACUCGGUGAAAUUAUAGUACCUGUGAAGAUGCAGGUUACCCGCGACAGGACGGAAAGACCCCGUGGAGCUUUACUGUAGCCUGAUAUUGAAUUUUGGUACAGUUUGUACAGGAUAGGCGGGAGCCAUUGAAACCGGAGCGCUAGCUUCGGUGGAGGCGCUGGUGGGAUACCGCCCUGACUGUAUUGAAAUUCUAACCUACGGGUCUUAUCGACCCGGGAGACAGUGUCAGGUGGGCAGUUUGACUGGGGCGGUCGCCUCCUAAAGUGUAACGGAGGCGCCCAAAGGUUCCCUCAGAAUGGUUGGAAAUCAUUCGUAGAGUGCAAAGGCAUAAGGGAGCUUGACUGCGAGACCUACAAGUCGAGCAGGGACGAAAGUCGGGCUUAGUGAUCCGGUGGUUCCGCAUGGAAGGGCCAUCGCUCAACGGAUAAAAGCUACCCCGGGGAUAACAGGCUUAUCUCCCCCAAGAGUCCACAUCGACGGGGAGGUUUGGCACCUCGAUGUCGGCUCAUCGCAUCCUGGGGCUGUAGUCGGUCCCAAGGGUUGGGCUGUUCGCCCAUUAAAGCGGUACGCGAGCUGGGUUCAGAACGUCGUGAGACAGUUCGGUCCCUAUCCGUCGUGGGCGUAGGAAAUUUGAGAGGAGCUGUCCUUAGUACGAGAGGACCGGGAUGGACGCACCGCUGGUGUACCAGUUGUUCUGCCAAGGGCAUAGCUGGGUAGCUAUGUGCGGAAGGGAUAAGUGCUGAAAGCAUCUAAGCAUGAAGCCCCCCUCAAGAUGAGAUUUCCCAUAGCGUAAGCUAGUAAGAUCCCUGAAAGAUGAUCAGGUUGAUAGGUUCGAGGUGGAAGCAUGGUGACAUGUGGAGCUGACGAAUACUAAUAGAUCGAGGACUUAACC